rnacentral:rRNA from 1 species
AAAGUCGUAACAAGGUUUCCGUAGGUGAACCUGCGGAAGGAUCAUUACCGAGUGCGGGUGCCCCCGGCGCCCGACCUCCCAACCCUUUGUGUGACCGUUACCUCUGUUGCCUCGGGGGCGACCCGGCCCUGACCCGGCCGCGGGCCCCCGGUGGACCAUCAACCAACACUGCAUCAAUGCGUCGGAGUGAAUUGAAGCGAAUUCAAUCAAAACUUUCAACAACGGAUCUCUUGGUUCUGGCAUCGAUGAAGAACGCAGCGAAAUGCGAUAAGUAAUGUGAAUUGCAGAAUUCAGUGAAUCAUCGAAUCUUUGAACGCACAUUGCGCCCCCUGGUACUCCGGGGGGCAUGCCUGUUCGAGCGUCAUUACACCACUCAAGCCUCGCUUGGUAUUGGGCGACGGGGACUCCCCCGCGCCUCAAUGUUUCCGGCUGGUUGGUCCAAAUCUCAGCGUCGUGGCAAUCAAUUCGCUGGCGAGAUGGGGUGACCCGGCCGUUAAGCCUCUUAUCAAAGGUUGACCUCGGAUCAGGUAGGGAUACCCGCUGAACUUA